rnacentral:rRNA from 1 species
UACGUAGGGUGCAAGCGUUAAUCGGAAUUACUGGGCGUAAAGCGUGCGCAGGCGGUUUUGUAAGUCUGUCGUGAAAUCCCCCGGGCUUAACCUGGGAAUGGCGAUGGAGACUGCAAGGCUAGAGUUUGGCAGAGGGGGGUAGAAUUCCACGUGUAGCAGUGAAAUGCGUAGAGAUGUGGAGGAACACCGAUGGCGAAGGCAGCCCCCUGGGUCAAAACUGACGCUCAUGCACGAAAGCGUGGGGAGCAAACAGG